rnacentral:rRNA from 1 species
GACGAACGCUGGCGGCGUGCCUAAUACAUGCAAGUCGAACGCAGUGGGGACGGGUGAUUAACACGUGGGUAACCUCCCAUCAGAGGGGAUAACCCUUGGAAACAGGUGCUAAACCGAUACUGAUGGAUGGACCCGGGGGGCAUUAGCUAGUUGGUGGGGUAACGGCUCACCAAGGCCACGAUGCAUAGCCGACCUGAGAGGGUGACCGGCCACACUGGAACUGAGACACGGCCCAGACUCCUACGGGAGGCAGCAGUAGGGAAUCUUGGGCAAUGGACGAAAGUCUGACCGAGCAACGCCGCGUGAGUGAAGAAGGUUUUCGGGUCGUAAAACUCUGUUGUUAGAGAAGCGUUAUCUAACCAGAAAGCCACGGCUAACUACGUGCCAGCAGCCGCGGUAAUUC